rnacentral:rRNA from 1 species
UAGAGUUUGAUCAUGGCUCAGAUUGAACGCUGGCGGCUGGCCUAACACAUGCAAGUCGAGCGGAAACGACACUAACAAUCCUUCGGGUGCGUUAAUGGACGUCGAGCGGCGGACGGGUGAGUAAUGCCUAGGAAAUUGCCUUGAUGUGGGGGAUAACCAUUGGAAACGAUGGCUAAUACCGCAUAAUGCCUACGGGCCAAAGAGGGGGACCUUCGGGCCUCUCGCGUCAAGAUAUGCCUAGGUGGGAUUAGCUAGUUGGUGAGGUAAUGGCUCACCAAGGCGACGAUCCCUAGCUGGUCUGAGAGGAUGAUCAGCCACACUGGAACUGAGACACGGUCCAGACUCCUACGGGAGGCAGCAGUGGGGAAUAUUGCACAAUGGGCGAAAGCCUGAUGCAGCCAUGCCGCGUGUAUGAAGAAGGCCUUCGGGUUGUAAAGUACUUUCAGUUGUGAGGAAGGGGGUAGCGUUAAUAGCGCUGUCUCUUGACGUUAGCAACAGAAGAAGCACCGGCUAACUCCGUGCCAGCAGCCGCGGUAAUACGGAGGGUGCGAGCGUUAAUCGGAAUUACUGGGCGUAAAGCGCAUGCAGGUGGUUCAUUAAGUCAGAUGUGAAAGCCCGGGGCUCAACCUCGGAACUGCAUUUGAAACUGGUGAACUAGAGUACUGUAGAGGGGGGUAGAAUUUCA